rnacentral:lncRNA from 10 species
CGGCAGAAGAUAAACUGGAGCCAGGUCCUGAAUUCCCCACCCUCUGGCAUUUCAUGACCCAAGAAUCUAUUACCCAAGCCAAAUGAAUAAGGACCAUCCUUGGCCUUGAAAACAAAAACUUCCCUCGUAGUCUUAUUUUAAUCUUUUUUUGAAAGAUUAGGGGAAGAAAAUAAGAGAUAGAAAUGAGAUAGAGAAUAUGUGUGUGGGAGAAGUCUGGCACCUCAGAGAGGGGUCCUGGAAGGUCUCUCUGAGGAGGUGACAUUUGAGAUGUGACCAGAAUAUGCAAAGAACCUGGAAAGAAGCUCUCUAAGUUGAAGAAAGUGAUUACAAAAGAGACACCUUGGGGGUCAGAGGAAAAGAAAGACUGUGCCUGGCUGGAACCCAGUGGACAGGAGAAGAGCUCAAGAAAUGAGCAACACCACUGCAGAUAAAAUCAUUAGGCAGAAUCUGGAGAGGUUCAAGUGAUACUUGCUUCAAAGAAGGCCUUUCCUGAGGACAGGGUAGGACAUCUUUAAUGAUCUGGAAGCCAGUAUUGCUCAGCACUUAAGCAUAUGGAGAAGUGUUGGAUUGGACCAAAAGAGGAAGGAUUCAGACUGCCCAAAAAGAGGUGAAAUAGUCUGCCCAGGAAGAAGCAGCACAUUUUGAUCUUUUUCUUGCCUGCUGAUGAAGGAAAGAGGAAAUUUGGACACACAUGAGAAAUACCAGGGAUAUGCCUACACAGAUAAAAGUCCAUGUAAGGACACAGCAAGAAGGAGGACACCUGCAAGCCAAGGAGAGAGGAGUGUGGUCUCUGGAGAAAUUUAACCUGCCAACACCUUGAUCUUGGACUUCUAGUCUCCAGAACUGUCGGUAAGCAGAGUGGGCUCCAAAGGCAGGAGAAAGUUGCAGCAAAAGAGAUGCACACUCACAUUUGGAAGACAAGCUGGCCACAAGCAACCCUGAUGGUGGGGCGGAUGCUGGCACAACUUGUCAGAGGCUGGCAGCUGGUGUGCAGACCAAAGCCUAGUGAACCUGGGGCCUAAAUGUCAACGUGUGGCUAUCAGGACAGGAAUAAAGGCAUUGAUGUAACACUGGUUUUUGUUUUGUGUGUGUGUUUUUCUGAAGGGCAAGGUGGAUAUACUAAAAAAUGAAUUUUAAAAACAUUAAGCCCUAAUCCCACCUUCAGAACAAGUGGCUUUUCAAAAUAACUAAAAGGGUAGAACUGGAAUGUUUCUAACACAAAGAAAUGAUAAAUGCUUGAGGCGAUAGACAUCCCAAAUACCCUGAUUUGAUCAUGACAAUAUUGUAUGUUUGUAUCAAUAUUUCACAUGUACUCCAUAAAUAUAUGCAACUAUUAUGUAUCCAUAAUAAUUAAAGAUAAAUCAAUAUUUUAAAGUUCCUCAUUUGUUUUAGAUCCUUCGUUUAAAAAAACUGAGAAAAAAGGAGUUGCUUUUUUUCCCUCCUGGCUAGUGUAAAAACUAACACACAUUUACCUUUCAAUUAAAAUCUCAAGACCCUUUGCAUGUGGUACAUGCACCAAAUGCAUACAUUAGAACUGAAUUAUGGAAAAACACAAGAGAAUGACAUUGAUUUAUGCACUUCCAUUAGAUAGAGUGUUAGUUAACAAUUCAAAACAAACAGAUACCUUAAGUCUGUCAAGAAAAGAGCAUUUUAGUUGAAGAGCAAAG